AUGCCCUCAAAACGUUGUACCAUUGCAAAGAAAACUAAAUGAAAGGGGCGGCUACAACUAUGCACCUUAACAGCAUUUUCCUCUCAUCAAACAAUGAUAAAAAAAAAAGACAAAUUAAGUGUGGCAGCUGGAAUUAAAAUUCAAUAAAAUGGAAAGGCAUGAUCAACGUAACAAAGAGGACAAUAAAAAAAAAAAGAAAACGUGCUUCCCAAAAUCAAUCAUGAGCAUUCACCGUCUGCAUCUCUUUUCUCAAUCACC
rnacentral:lncRNA from 1 species